AUCCCCUCUCUCAAAUUCUUUUUUUUCUUUUCUUAUCAAUGGGUGAGGAGAACCACCAUUCCACAGCGUCGUUCAUGGCCAUGAACGGUGGCUGGAAUUCACGUAAGACUUUCAAAACAACCACUCGAUAUCCCGAAGUUCAAAACCAAGCCUCGUUUUUACUAAAACUAAACAUAAAUCCUAGGUCUAGGAAAAUCAUCUCGAGUUUUACCUAUUUUUCGGUGAUCCUUGGGUUUUCGACGAGAUUCUCAACCCAAAAAGCCUUGAUUCUUGUACUGCCGAGAAGAUAAGGGCCAUCUGAGAUGACGACAGUGACAGGAGUAGACAACAAUGGAAUGGUGGUGGCAGGAGCUAAUAGUAGCAUCGCGACAGUGCAAAAAACAUGGCAGUAGGUGAUAAUAGAAGACUCUCUAAGGUUAGGGUUUAUGGUUUGUUUAAUUUUUUGGGCCCAAUUUUGGGUUAUCUGUUGGGCCUGCCAAAAUGGAUCUUGUUGUAAUUGGCCAAUAGUUGGGUAUUGGUUUUGCUUGUAA